UACGUAGGGGGCAAGCGUUGUCCGGAAUCAUUGGGCGUAAAGAGCGUGUAGGCGGCCAGAUAAGUCCGCUGUGAAAACUCGAGGCUCAACUUCGAGCUGUCGGUGGAAACUAUUUGGCUAGAGUCCGGAAGAGGAGAGUGGAAUUCCUGGUGUAGCGGUGAAAUGCGCAGAUAUCAGGAAGAACACCCGUGGCGAAGGGGCUCUCUGGUACGGAACUGACGCUGAGACGCGAAAGCGUGGGGAGCGAACAGG
rnacentral:rRNA from 1 species